UUUUGGUGGCUGUCACGGCACACUCAGGGUUCUGGGUUCAGCAUGGCAUGUGGUACCAGUGAUCAAACUUGGGUCCUUAUGCUUGCCAGGCAGGUGCUUAGAC